GGACCUAAAUGCGCAAUUUCCCCAUUCAGGCUAUAACGCACGGGUCCUCCCCUCCGGGUCUGGUCACCGCGCGGGUCAUGCCUGGGUAAAACGGUGCCGUUUUGCUCUGUUAUUUAAAACAGAUUUUUCCUCUAAAAUCAUUUGCAACCGAAUGAAAGAAAAAAAAUAAAAAAAAUGCCCUCUUUUGCUCUGCUAGGGUUUCGUCCCUAGCAUCCCUGCGCCGCCGUUCGCCCGUGCCAAUGCUUCGAUCGCGACGAAGUUGGCAACAAUCCGGCGUCGUCGACAAAGAACGGUAAGGUUCCUCUUCUC
rnacentral:lncRNA from 1 species